rnacentral:rRNA from 1 species
UACGUAGGGGGCAAGCGUUAUCCGGAUUUACUGGGUGUAAAGGGAGCGUAGACGGUUAUGCAAGUCAGAAGUGAAAGCCCAAAGCUCAACUUCGGGACUGCUUUUGAAACUGUGUAACUAGAGUGCGGGAGGGGUAAGCGGAAUUCCUAGUGUAGCGGUGAAAUGCGUAGAUAUUAGGAGGAACACCGGCGGCGAAGGCGGCUUACUGGACUGUAACUGACGUUGAGGCUCGAAAGCGUGGGGAGCAAACAGG